CAGCAGCCGCGGGAAUACGAAGGGUGCAAGCGUUACUCGGAAUCACUGGGCGUAAAGCGUGCGUAGGUGGUGGUUUAAGUCCGUUGUGAAAGCCCUGGGCUCAACCUGGGAAUUGCAGUGGAUGCUGGGUCACUAGAGUGUGGUAGAGGAUAGUGGAAUUUCCGGUGUAGCAGUGAAAUGCGUAGAGAUCGGAAGGAACAUCUGUGGCGAAGGCGACUAUCUGGGCCAGCACUGACACUGAGGCACGAAAGCGUGGGGAGCAAACAGGAUUAGAUACCCCGGUAGUCCCUGUCUCUUAUAC
rnacentral:rRNA from 1 species